AGGACGAACGCUGGCGGCGUGCUUAACACAUGCAAGUCGAACGGAAAGGCCCUUCGGGGUACUCGAGUGGCGAACGGGUGAGUAACACGUGGGCAACCUGCCCCUAGCUCUGGGAUAACACUUGGAAACAGGUGCUAAUACCGGAUAACGACUCGACAAGGCAUCUUGACGAGUCCAAAGUUUUUCGGCUAGGGAUGGGCCCGCGGCCUAUCAGCUUGUUGGUGGGGUAAUGGCCCACCAAGGCAACGACGGGUAGCCGGCCUGAGAGGGCGACCGGCCACGACUGGGACUGAGACACGGCCCAGACUCCUACGGGAGGCAGCAGUGGGGAAUAUUGCGCAAUGGGCGAAAGCCUGACGCAGCGACGCCGCGUGAGGGAUGACGGCCUUCGGGUUGUAAACCUCUUUCAGCAGGAACGAAUCAAGACGGUACCUGCAGAAGAAGCACCGGCCAACUACGUGCCAGCAGCCGC
rnacentral:rRNA from 1 species